rnacentral:tRNA from 1 species
GCCGCGGUCGCAUAGUCUGGCCAUUGCGGUGGAUUGCUAAGGGCGUUAUAGAGUAUCAACGUACCUACAAAAUGGCCUGCGAAAAUCCACUGUCCUUCGGGGCACGAGAGUUCGAAUCUCUCCCGCGGCG